AGUGAACGCUGGCGGUAGGCCUAACACAUGCAAGUCGAACGGCAGCACAGUAAGAGCUUGCUCUUACGGGUGGCGAGUGGCGGACGGGUGAGGAAUACAUCGGAAUCUACUUUUUCGUGGGGGAUAACGUAGGGAAACUUACGCUAAUACCGCAUACGACCUACGGGUGAAAGCAGGGGAUCUUCGGACCUUGCGCGAUUGAAUGAGCCGAUGUCGGAUUAGCUAGUUGGCGGGGUAAAGGCACACCAAGGCGACGAUGCGUAGCUGGUCUGAGAGGAUGAUCGGCCACACUGGAACUGAGACACGGUCCAGACUCCUACGGGAGGCAGCAGUGGGGAAUAUUGGACAAUGGGCGCAAGCCUGAUCCAGCCAUACCGCGUGGGUGAAGAAGGCCUUCGGGUUGUAAAGCCCUUUUGUUGGGAAAGAAAAGCAGCAGGUUAAUACCCCGCUGUUCUGACGGUACCCAAAGAAUAAGCACCGGCUAACUUCGUG
rnacentral:rRNA from 1 species